UUUUUUUUUUUUUUUUUUUUUGUCAUUUAAGGUUUAUAAUUUCAUCAAAGGUUAAUUUCAGGAGGAAUUUUUCCAAAUUAUUCCGAUAAGCAGAAUGUGAUUUUUGACAUGGGAAUAUACCAUGUGAAACUAUUUUUAACAUGAGGGGGAAGGUAUCAUAGGUUUUACAGAAUGCUCAGAGAACUUGUUCUUCCAAGUGUGGGCUAGUGUCCUUUCUGUCUACAGACUCCAUCUAGGUAACAUCAAGUGUGGCUUGUCUGCUGCACACUAUUGGCAGGCACCUUAACUCACAGAAUUCGCGUAACUUUCCUAGUGAUAGUCCUUAGUCUACACUUGCACAGACAAACACAAGAAGCCAAAUAUUUAGAUGAUGACAGACACAGGAGAUAAGACACAUGUUGCUAAUCAAAUGAUGAAGAAACAGUUUUCAUUUCUACUAAGCAGAAUUUGUAUUACUUUCUUUAGGUUCUUUUUCCAACAAUUUUUCAUUGUUGGCUUUUUAACUGUUCACGGACCUUUUUCAGCCACUUGUGGAAAAUGUGAAUUUCCAGUCCCACUGGGGAUCGGGGGCAGCUGGGGUUGCUUUUAAUUUUCUCUCAUUUCUCUCUUGAAACUAACUUUACUUAGAUCCAGCAGAGAAUCGACUUCCCAUAGCCAGGACUGGGGAACAAUUGCCAGUUCCAUUGCUUUUCUAGAACUCAGGAAAUGUUCUGUGGAAAAGAAGGUCGGGAAACAUAUGUUGAGGUAAAAGCUUCUCCCAGGCUGGUGAGCCACAUGAAUUCUCACUAACACCCUCUGUUGGCAAUCAGAUACGGUGUCUCAUUUGUAUGGAGCAUUAUAGCAACCUACCAUUAGUGAGAUUCGAAAUCUCUGAACUCCAUGACAAAUGAUGGAGGAUUUGAAUAUUUAUAACUGACUGGUUAGUAGUGCAAUUUAUCAUUUAGUCUAGCAUGGCUAUAAAGUUAUUCCCACUACAAUCUCAGAGUUUACAGCCUUAAUAUUUGAACUCAUUAAAACUUUUACAUCAAAACAUCUCCUAGUUGAAUAUUUAGAAAUAGUUCAGAAAUGUGGUUGAUCUUGAUGGUUGUAAAUCAAUUAUGUCAUUAAAAACAAUGAUUCCCUAAUGCUGGAUAUUUAAAAUUAUUGUUGAUAACUUAAGAAAGCUAAUUUGUAAAUUUUAAUUUUAUUUUAAGGUCAUAAUACCUAGAAAAUGUGACCUACAUCCAAGAAAAUUGAUAAAUACAUUAGGAAAGUCAAACAUAGACAGUAGUAUCACAUAAUGUAAGAAAUGGUGCUGUUUCUUUUGGGGAGCAGUGUAUGACACCUUUUAAUAGUUAUGGAUUGUUUUAGAAAAAUAAUAGAUAUUAGUAGAGGAAUAUUUAUCUCUUAUAGUAGAUACAUUGAAGGGACUCAAAAGGAUUGCUCAAGUACUUUCAACAGUAACUUCGUUUGGAUUUUACAAGAACUAAUCUGGAUCUAUAAAUAUAUCUCAAAGUUUAGAUAACAAAUGUUAGUCACAGAGUAAAAGAAAGUAAAUCAAGCAAAGUUAACACAAAAGGUGUGUAUGAGCGGACUGCUGCAUACAAGGUGCCUGGGGCCCCUGCAGUGACCGAUUGGCAACAUCUAGGGAUAUAUGUAUAUAUAUAUCCCAUAUAUUCCUCAGAUGGGGAAAGGGGCUGGUUAUUUGGUUGUUGGUGGAUAUAUAUUCAUGUCCCAAUAUGUUCCUGGUUAGAACUUCUUGUAGCAGUAUCAGUUCACGCAUAUUAUUCUCCUGCAAAUUGGCGAAUUAGUCACAGCUCCCUAGAGGAGGAUAAAAAUAAGACAAAUACCUACUAAAUGGGAAUUUAAUAGAUUAGCUAAGGCAAUAUGAUUGUUUUAGUCACUAUUGACUAUUUUGACACUUAAGAGACUACGAACAAAAUAACUACCCCAUCUACUAGUUUGGAUGACUCAGCAGUCCCAAUGUGGUGCACAUAGCCUGAGAGAUGGCCUAAGGUUACCCUAAUAUGCUGACUUGUAAUGUCAGUAUAGCUUUGUGGUUGGAGCAGCAUGAAACCAAUAACAGUGGUAGCAACUAGAUGCCCUCCCCAGAGAGAGAUGGAGGCAAGCAGAGAAAAAGCCACAAACUUCUAUUCAGACCUAGUAAUAUCUGGUCCUUUGUUGAGAGUAGCUUUUGCUUUCUGUUAGUCUUCUGAGGAAAACCAUUAUAGACUCACCAAGAAGACUGCCUCAGUUGAGUCCAGAUUCAGUCAAUUUGCAAAUCAAGAUCAGCCACUACCCAUGGAAUACAUGAAAUAUUUUAGGCAUAUUAAAUUCAAAGAUAGCUUUUAUCUGAAAGUUGUCAGAGUUGCCAGUAAAAAGUCAAAUAGAUAAACAAACAACAGUUUCUAGGGACCAUAGAUGUCAUGAAUAGGACAUCAAGGCUUAAGCUAAAUAUGGAGUAUGAAAGUAUUUUAUGAUUGGGAGGGAGAGUGAGAAUGAUCUAUAAAACUACCUAUUUAGCAGUAAUUCAGUAUGAAAGUGAAUUGCAAUGAUUAGUGGGAGUGGAUGUAAUCGUAUAUUUCAAAUUCAAAUUCUAUAAUGAUACUUCCAAUGCAUAUCUAUUCAACACAGGAGGGAGCUGGGGUAAUAAGGGAGUUGCUUAACAGUAUAAACAUAUGUAGAGAGCAACAGAAAAAGACUGACUGCCCUUUGAGCAUAACCUGUCACAUAGAAACAGCUUCUAAGCUGAACUACAAUUUAAAGUCAACUAAUAGAGGUGAAUGAAUCUAGAUUUAUCUGUGAUUAAAUAGUCUGCAUAGGAUAGGUAAUCACUAUGGAAUAGACACCACUCUGAGGAUUUUAUAAAGAGC
rnacentral:lncRNA from 1 species